rnacentral:lncRNA from 1 species
UUUUGCUGACACAACAUCAUCAUUUAGUAUCAUUCAUCUUCAAAGAGGACAACGGUGAACAAAUAAGGAACCUUUUACAUGUUUUUUUAUUUGGUCAGAAACACCAAGUGCAAUAACAAUCCUUUCUCACUUUUAUUUAUUAAUAAUUAUAGAUAAAAGAGAGAGACCACAGCUAGAGCAUAGACUUCUUCAUGACAUUAGAGAGUUUUUUCAGUAUCCACAGGAAGGUAAUUCAUCAUAUUAAUAUAUGUCAAAAAAACCCAAAGAGUUGUCCUUUUAGAGACGAAGUUUGGAAUAAGAAUUUAAAGAGGGCUCAGAUUGUCCUUUGUGGUUUAAAUGGUCAGGGAACAAUUAAUAGUUUUUGUUGUUGUUGUUGUGUUAUGAACCCCAUAUCUUUCCAUCAUGGAAAAGCAACAGGAUUGAAGUGAUAUAACUAGAGGGCUUUGCAAAAUGAAAUAUUCAAUAUCCUGGAGCACCAAUAAUGGCACUUGGGAAGAGAAGAUAUGACAGUUCCAUUUCAGGAUAUGUAAUUCUUUCACUCAGGGUUGGGUGACAUCGGUUUGUAAAAAGUCACUGAAUAUCCCCAAACUGACUUUUAUAAGACAGUAACAAGUGCCUCCUCAAUCCUCAAUUAUGCCAUGGAGUUAGGAAGAGUUAAGGGAAAAAAACAUAGUUUUCUGGUUGUGGAAAAGUUGUAUGUGUUCAGGAUUUAUAAACUCUAUUUAACAUAAAGAAUUUAUCUUUUUACCUACUCAUUUUGGACUUCUUAAAUAUGUUUUAAAAUUGAGACAUUUUAUAGAUUAUCUUAAAGACUUAAAUCUUAGUGCAGCAUAUGUUCUAUAGAAAGCUUGGCCAAUGAAUUCUGCCUUAUGUUGGAUUUAGGACCUCAGGGGCAGUAGAUAUCCUUUAUUUUCCCAACAAAGCUAUACCUGACCUGGCAAUAGAAGAUAUCAGUUAGAUUAGAUACUGCCUGCACAGGAAUAAAAUGAUUUUAAUCCACAAAAUCAGUGAAAGGCAACAUUUUCAUAUUACAAUUCAUUUCAAACUAUCUUAAUUUGAUAUUCUGUAGAAAAGCACCAGCUAGUAGAAACAGGUAGGAUGCCAGUCAGUGUGGUUGCAAAGAAUGAUGUCGCACAAUGUGUGCCCAUAACCAGCCUCUUGAGCAACCUGGUAUCUGAAGUAGCUACAAAGUCUCAUUUAUCUAAAGAGCCACAAGUUUCAUGGAUCAAUUUGUAUUUUAAUAAUGAUAUGUUAGAACAUGCAAAAUUCAGAAGUGAACACACCAUAGCAGAUCAUGUCUAUUACUAACAAUAACUAAUGAGUAAUUUGUUGGCUCUCGUGCUCAAUCCCACUUUUAAGCCAGUGACUCCACUAUUAAAACUAGGUUUGGCUAAUCAAAUUUGAAAAAGUGCUCAUGGGGCAAGUGCCUUUUCUCCUCUGAGGACUAGCAAUGACUAUUCAUGUUCAAAGUGCUGUUGUCCAGAGUAGCCUUUUAAACAUACUAACAGCUCAUAUUUUGUCAGACAACUUUGUUAACUAGGUUAUUAUCCACCUCCAAUAAAAACCUGUCUCUUUAUUUUUUCAUACUUUAUGUCAUUGAAACAAAGAACUUUCUGGGUUUGUAAUGGAAAAUAGCUAUGUUUGUUUUGGGGGAAAAAUCUCAAAUUUUUCCAUCAUUUGAUAAUUUUUGUCUUUGCCCAGUUUUUAAGACAUGGAAACAAUUUACUGCUCAGCAAACAGACAUAAAAAAUAAAUUGCUGAAUAUAGCAUGUGCAAUUUUUCUUUGUAUAAUAGAACUGGUGCUAAUUCAUUUUUACAUGGUAUUUUUGUCUGGUUUGUUUGCUAUAUACCAUCCUGGGACCUAGAAGAAAGUAAGAAUACAGGUUUUAUGUUGACUUUCUGAACAACCUGUAUUUUUUAUAGCUUGUGGUAAUGCAUUCUAGAUUUGAGUCAAUCUUUUUGUGUAGGCCUUAAAUGAGAAAGACAACUUAUCCUGUACUUUUCAAUCAAGUGGCUUAGUAGAGUGAAAUAGAACUGAAAUUAUUAUAACCAUAUUCUCUUAAUUGAUGUUAUUCUUUGUUGUGCUGUUAUUUAAGUGGUGCAAAGUAUUUUCUCAUAUCCUUUUUCUAUGUUGUAUUAAAUAAGGGCCUGAACUUUAAACUUUGUCUUUUUAAAUAGGUAUUUUCAUGUUUUUCCUUGUAUGUGCUGCUCAUACUGCUGUAAGAAAGCUAAAAAAUCUGUCAUGUUUUUUUGUUCAGUUUGAAUUUCUCAGGUAGAAAGCCAUGUAACUUGGUAAUUUUGAAAAUAGAACCAAAUAAAUGUAUUUUUUAUUUGUUGCAAACUGUUUAAAAUGUUAAUUUUUAAAUAAAUGUUGAUAAUUCCACUUUUGGGGGAAGUUUCUACGUGUAGAAUACAGCAUUGCAC